AUUGAACGCUAGCGGCAUGCUUUACACAUGCAAGUCGAACGAGUGGCGGACGGGUGAGUAAUAUAUCGGAACGUGCCCAGGAGCGGGGGAUAACUACUCGAAAGAGUGGCUAAUACCGCAAACUAUUGGAACGGCCGAUAUGGGAUUAGCUAGUUGGUGGGGUAAAGGCUCACCAAGGCAACGAUCCGUAGCUGGUCUGAGAGGACGACCAGCCACACUGGGACUGAGACACGGCCCAGACUCCUACGGGAGGCAGCAGUGGGGAAUAUUGGACAAUGGGGGCAACCCUGAUCCAGCCAUCCCGCGUGUAUGAGAAGGCCUUCGGGUUGUAAAGUACUUUUAGCAGGGAAGCGGUACCUGCAGAAUAAGCACCGGCUAACUACGUGCCAGCAGCCGCGGUAAUUC
rnacentral:rRNA from 1 species